rnacentral:rRNA from 1 species
GACGAACGCUGGCGGCGUGCUUAACGCAUGCAAGUCGAACGAUGAACCCGGAGCUUGCUCCGGCGGAUUAGUGGCGAACGGGUGAGUAACACGUGAGUAACCUGCCCUUGACUCUGGGAUAACUGCUAGAAAUGGUAGCUAAUACCGGAUACGACCCUCGGUGGCAUCACCAGGGGGUGGAAAGAAUUUCGGUCAAGGAUGGACUCGCGGCCUAUCAGCUAGUUGGUGAGGUAACGGCUCACCAAGGCGACGACGGGUAGCCGGCCUGAGAGGGUGACCGGCCACACUGGGACUGAGACACGGCCCAGACUCCUACGGGAGGCAGCAGUGGGGAAUAUUGCACAAUGGGCGCAAGCCUGAUGCAGCAACGCCGCGUGAGGGAUGACGGCCUUCGGGUUGUAAACCUCUUUUAGUAGGGAAGAAGCGAAAGUGACGGUACCUGCAGAAAAAGCACCGGCUAACUACGUGCCAGCAGCCGCAGUAA